AUUGAACGCUGGCGGCAUGCCUUACACAUGCAAGUCGAACGGUAACAGAUCUUCGGAUGCUGACGAGUGGCGAACGGGUGAGUAAUACAUCGGAACGUGCCUAGUAGUGGGGGAUAACUACUCGAAAGAGUGGCUAAUACAGCAUGAGAUCUACGGAUGAAAGCAGGGGAGCGAAAGACCUUGUGCUACUAGAGCGGCCGAUGGCAGAUUAGGUAGUUGGUGGGAUAAAAGCUUACCAAGCCGACGAUCUGUAGCUGGUCUGAGAGGACGAUCAGCCACACUGGGACUGAGACACGGCCCAGACUCCUACGGGAGGCAGCAGUGGGGAAUUUUGGACAAUGGGCGAAAGCCUGAUCCAGCAAUGCCGCGUGCAGGAUGAAGGCCUUCGGGUUGUAAACUGCUUUUGUACGGAACGAAAAGCCCUGGGUUAAUACCCUGGGGUCAUGACGGUACCGUAAGAAUAAGCACCGGCUAACUACGUGCCAGCCGCCGCAGUAACAC
rnacentral:rRNA from 1 species